rnacentral:rRNA from 1 species
UUACCUGGCCUUGACAUACUAAGAACUUUCCAGAGACGGAUUGGUGCCUUCGGGAACUUAGAUACAGGUGCUGCAUGGCUGUCGUCAGCUCGUGUCGUGAGAUGUUGGGUUAAGUCCGCAACGAGCGCAACCCUUUUCCUUAUUGCCAGCGGGUAAUGCCGGGAACUUUAAGGAUACUGCCAGUGACAAACUGGAGGAAGGCGGGGACGACGUCAAGUCAUCAUGGCCCUUACGGCCAGGGCUACACACGUGCUACAAUGGUCGGUACAAAGGGUUGCUACCUCGCGAGAGGAUGCUAAUCUCAAAAAGCCGAUCGUAGUCCGGAUCGCAGUCUGCAACUCGACUGCGUGAAGUCGGAAUCGCUAGUAAUCGCGGAUCAGAAUGCCGCGGUGAAUACGUUCCCGGGCCUUGUACACACCGCCCGUCACACCAUGGGAGUUUGUUGCACCAGAAGUAGGUAGUCUAACCGCAAGGAGGACGCUUACCACGGUGUGGCCGAUGACUGGGGUGAAGUCGUAACAAGGUAAGCGUAGAUGA